UGUGGUAUAGCGCAGUGGUAGAGCGCUUGCUUAGCAUGUAUGAGGCACUGGGUUCCAUCCUCAGCACCACAC
rnacentral:tRNA from 1 species